CAGCCUGGGAACCGUAUUUUUGAAAAGGCAACAGUUAUCCCAGUGAUAAAUACAACAGAAGUCAUCAGCUGCCUUCAGCCUCAGCAGUCGCUCUGGCCAAAUCAGGCCGCAUGUGGCUGAGGCUGCUUUUGGAAAGACCUCUCCCAUCAAUGCCCUGCAACAUGCAGGGCCAAAGCCUGCUGGAAAUAACCUCUGUCCCACAAAACGUUCUGCGCUGUUGGAAACACCGAGGAGUAAUUGUCAUGUCUAGUGAAAGACAGGGCCACCCUACAAGUCAUAACAUUUCCAGGCAAAACCUCAUAUUGCUUAUAGUCAAGGACAUUGGCUGAUGUUUUCUGAGAAUCAGCCUUUGCUAAGCAAGUGCCUGAAAGCAAGCAUUACAGCAUUAAACAUGGUGAGGUAGGAUACCCAUAAACACUACAGGCCUGUGCUACAGCAGGGACACAGUCUAAAAACCCAAACACAACUGCUGACUCUCAUCACGCUUGUGCAAGUGAUGCAAAGAAUUAAUGAGUGACCAAGAUAAAACUGUAUGAAUGUAUAAGCUUUACCCCAGGGUUACAGUGUGGUUUUCUUUCCUUGGAAGUCCUGCCUAUGUAAAAGCAGAUGUUAAAUUAUGUGUUUAUGUAUUUCUAAAGAAUGCAUUUAUAUUUUCCUGCUUGCCAGGAAAAGGAGGUUGAGAUGUCCUGUCAAAUGCAUGUUUACAACAGAGGCUGGUUCACGCUUCCACCUGCCCCUUCUAGCAUGUUACACACAGACAUAAAAGGGUGUUAAAGCCUGUGUGGUCUUGCGUUCCUCUCAGAUGCAGAACCUCCUAAGUGUGGGAGAUGGAGAGGACAGGAUGGAGGAGGGAGAACCUGGAAGAAUUUUUUAUUAGUACAAAUUUUUUCAAAGUGCCCAUCUCUCUCUGUGUGCAUGCACCCUGGGCAACCUCAAGUCCUACCUUUCAUGCAGAACCAGCUGUCCAGAGAGAGCCACAGGAGACCCUGCAGCCAAGCCCAGCCCUACCACCGUGUUUCUGCUCACCUCAGGCAACAGCAUGUUACAAUUACAAACACAAGCACUUGCAAAGCUGAAUUGCAAAAGUGGAGGUCAGUCGUGUCCUGGGCCUCUGGCUGUGAGUGACAGCAUGCUGCCCUGCCACCAGCUCCUUCAGAUAUCAACCUCUGCAGCCUGAUAGUCCUUCUGAUCUGCCCAUUUUUGUUUUCACUGUGAGCUGAACCUCUUUGGCCAGUUCAUUCAUCUGUCCAGCACUCUGCACUCACCCUUGAAGUCCUACAACAUCUGCUUCACCCUGAGACCAGUGUCACCCCAUCCAGCUUGAUGGUGAUUCACACUUGGGCCUGGAUUCAUUUUAGGACUGGCUGAAGCUACUCCUACCUUCAUUCCCCUACCUUAGAUAUGAAAUCCAG
rnacentral:lncRNA from 1 species